GCACACCUUGAUCGCACAUCCACAUCUCACACCUGUGCACAACCUGUAGCUUGGGAUGAUUACAAUGCUGGGAACAGUGUUGAAAGCCCUUGCUAUGAAAUUUUACACACACAUAUUAAAAGUUAUAGAAUGUUAUAUAGCGUGUAACAGCGCAAAUAAAUAUACAACUUUCAGCAACGGAUCUCUUGGCUCUCGCAUCGAUGAAGAACGCAGCGAAAUGCGAUAAGUAAUGUGAAUUGCAGAAUUCAGUGAAUCAUCGAAUCUUUGAACGCACCUUGCGCUCCUUGGUAUUCUGAGGAGCAUGCCUGUUUGAGUGUCAUGAAAUUCUCAACUGCUUCAACUUUUGUGGUUGAAGUGAAGUUGGACUUGGAGGAAUCAUUGCUGGCGUGACCUUUUAGGUUGCUUGUUAGCUCCUCUUAAAUGGAUGAACUUUCCAUUUACAAAGUAACAUCAAUGUGAUAAUUAUCUACGUUGGAUGAGUUUGUACAAGGAAAGGUAUAUCUUGGAGUUUCAAAUCCUUUGAUGAAACAAAUGACAAAUUUUGACCCUCAAAUCAAGGUAGGACUACCCCGCUGAA
rnacentral:rRNA from 1 species